rnacentral:rRNA from 1 species
UACGAAGGGGGCUAGCGUUGCUCGGAAUCACUGGGCGUAAAGCGCACGUAGGCGGAUUGUUAAGUCAGGGGGUGAAAUCCUGGAGCUCAACUCCAGAACUGCCUUUUGAUACUGGCGAUCUCGAGUCCGGGAGAGGUGAGUGGAACUGCGAGUGUAGAGGUGAAAAUUCGUAGAUAUUCGCAAAGAACACCAGUGGCGAAGGCGGCUCACUGGCCCGGUAUGACGCUGAGGUGCGAAAGCGUGG